AGAACCUGAACCAAAAGAUGGGAUACCAGUUGGCAUAUACUUGUUUACUGAAGAAAAUUGUGCUUGCCCUCCAAGCAUUACAUAGAUUAAGAAAGGCAUUUCCUCAACACUCUCCAAACAGUUGGCUUUGGAAUUCCCAGGUCAUGACUGGCACAAGACAUUUACUUUUGUGGACUUCUGAGGAAUGUUUCCAUGAGCUGUUCAAACAGUUCCUGAGACGUCAAUCUGAUUUUGUUUUUAAAAAAGACUUCCUGUUUCCUUAAAGUUAUAUUCUCGCUCCUAAAUGGAUUGUCUGAUGUCAAGCACCAGCAGAUGUCUACAGUGUCGGCCAUCAUUGCACAACUGGCACGUAGAUGUAACAGUCACUCUGUGUCCACUAUUGUGAAGUGUGGCCACCAGGGGGAGACACCACGGGCAAGUGGUCACACACGGUAGCUGUGCAGACACCUUCCAGUGCCACCUGUGAGAUGCUGUCUAUGUAUGCAACUGCCACCUGGUGGUCGCCUUCAGUCUGCUCUCGCUCUUAGU